rnacentral:rRNA from 1 species
UAAUACGUAGGGUGCGAGCGUUAAUCGGAAUUACUGGGCGUAAAGCGUGCGCAGGCGGUUUUGUAAGCCAGAUGUGAAAUCCCCGGGCUCAACCUGGGAAUGGCGGUGGAAACUGGCGAGCUAGAGUGUGUCAGAGGGGGGUGGAAUUCCACGUGUAGCAGUGAAAUGCGUAGAGAUGUGGAGGAACACCAAUGGCGAAGGCAGCCCCCUGGGAUAACACUGACGCUCAGGCACGAAAGCGUGGGGAGCAAACAGGAUUAGAUACCCUGGUAGUCCACGCCCUAAACGAUGUCAACUAGGUGUUGGGGGAGCAAUCUCUUGGUACCGCAGCUAACGCGUGAAGUUGACCGCCUGGGGAGUACGGUCGCAAGAUUA